AUUGAACGCUGGCGGCAGGCCUAACACAUGCAAGUCGAGCGGAUGACGGGAGCUUGCUCCUUGAUUCAGCGGCGGACGGGUGAGUAAUGCCUAGGAAUCUGCCUGGUAGUGGGGGACAACGUUUCGAAAGGAACGCUAAUACCGCAUACGUCCUGCGGGAGAAAGCAGGGGACCUUCGGGCCUUGUGCUAUCAGAUGAGCCUAGGUCGGAUUAGCUAGUUGGUGGGGUAAUGGCUCACCAAGGCGACGAUCCGUACCUGGUCUGAGAGGAUGAUCAGUCACACUGGAACUGAGACACGGUCCAGACUCCUACGGGAGGCAGCAGUGGGGAAUAUUGGACAAUGGGCGAAAGCCUGAUCCAGCCAUGCCGCGUGUGUGAAGAAGGUCUUCGGAUUGUAAAGCACUUUAAGUUGGGAGGAAGGGCAGUAAGUUAAUACCUUGCUGUUUUGACGUUACCGACAGAAUAAGCACCGGCUAACUCUGUGCCAGCAGCCGCCGUAACAC
rnacentral:rRNA from 1 species